AACUAACGCUGGCGGCGUGCCUAAUACAUGCAAGUCGAACGCGAAAGUCCUUCGGGAUGAGUAGAGUGGCGCACGGGUGAGUAACACGUGGGUAAUCUGCCUUGAGAUGGGAAUAACCCCUCGAAAGAGGGGCUAAUACCGCAUAAGACCACAGCUACUACGGUAGCAGGGGUUAAAAGUGACCUCUAUUUAUAAGUUAUUGUCUCAAGAUGAGCUCGCGCACUAUUAGCUAGUUGGUGGGGUAAUGGCCUACCAAGGCUACGAUAGUUAGCUGGUCUGAGAGGAUGAUCAGCCACACUGGAACUGAGACACGGUCCAGACUCCUACGGGAGGCAGCAGUAGGGAAUAUUGCUCAAUGGGGGAAACCCUGAAGCAGCAACGCCGCGUGAGUGAUGAAGGCCUUCGGGUCGUAAAGCUCUGUUGUACGGGGAGAAUGUGGAUAUGGCUAACAUCCAUAUCCAGUGACAGUACCGUAUAAGAAAGGACCGGCUAA
rnacentral:rRNA from 1 species